rnacentral:rRNA from 1 species
ACAGGGCAUCAUAGAGGGUGAGAAUCCCGUCUUCGGCCUGAGCAUUUGUCUUUUGUGAUACACUUUCAAAGAGUCAGGUUGUUUGGGAAUGCAGCCUAAAUUGGGUGGUAAAUCUCACCUAAAGCUAAAUAUUGGCGAGAAACCGAUAGCGAACAAGUACCGUGAGGGAAAGAUGAAAAGAACUUUGAAAAGAGAGUUAAACAGUAUGUGAAAUUGUUAAAAGGGAACCGUUUGGAGCCAGACUGGCUUGUCUGUAAUCAGUCUAAGCUUCGGCUUGGAUGCACUUGCGGGCUAUGCCUGCCAACGACAAUUUGGCUUGAGGGAAAAAACUAGGGGGAAUGUGGCCCAUCCGUGGGUGUUAUAGUCCCUUAGAAAAUACCUUGGGCUGGAUUGAGGAACGCAGCGAAUGCUAUUUGGCGAGUUGGCUGGGAGAAUUUUC